rnacentral:rRNA from 1 species
CCUACGGGUGGCAGCAGUGGGGGAUAUUGCACAAUGGUGGGAACCCUGAUGCAGCGACGCCGCGUGGGUGAAGGAGCGUUUCGGCGCGUAAAGCCCUAUCGGCAGGGAAGAAGGAGGACGGUACCUGACUAAGAAGCCCCGGCUAACUACGUGCCAGCAGCCGCGGUAAUACGUAGGGGGCAAGCGUUAUCCGGAUUUAUUGGGUUUAAAGGGUGCGUAGGCGUAUCGUUAAGUCAGUGGUCAAAUUGAGGGGCUCAACCCCUUCCCGCCAUUGAAACUGGCGCUCGUGAGUGGAAGAGAAGUAUGCGGAAUGCGUGGUGUAGCGGUGAAAUGCAUAGAUAUCACGCAGAACCCCGAUUGCGAAGGCAGCAUGCCGGCUUCCGACUGACGCUGAAGCACGAAAGCGUGGGGAUCGAACAGGAUUAGAUACCCUUGUAGUC